rnacentral:rRNA from 1 species
CCUACGGGGGGCCGCAGUGGGGAAUAUUGGACAAUGGGCGAAAGCCUGAUCCAGCCAUGCCGCGUGUGUGAAGAAGGCCUUCGGGUUGUAAAGCACUUUCAGUGGGGAAGAAAGCCUUGGGGCUAAUACCCUCGAGGAAGGACAUCACCCACAGAAGAAGCACCGGCUAACUCCGUGCCAGCAGCCGCGGUAAUACGGAGGGUGCGAGCGUUAAUCGGAAUUACUGGGCGUAAAGCGCGCGUAGGCGGUCUGAUAAGCCGGUUGUGAAAGCCCCGGGCUCAACCUGGGAACGGCAUCCGGAACUGUCAGGCUAGAGUGCAGGAGAGGAAGGUAGAAUUCCCGGUGUAGCGGUGAAAUGCGUAGAGAUCGGGAGGAAUACCAGUGGCGAAGGCGGCCUUCUGGACUGACACUGACGCUGAGGUGCGAAAGCGUGGGUAGCAAACAGGAUUAGAUACCCGUGUAGUC